rnacentral:lncRNA from 1 species
GGGUUCUGUUGAGUCUGAUAAUCCGAGUUGGAUUGAUCCUGGGUCCGAGACUCAGUACCAGAGAAAGAAUUCGGGUGGGUUUUGGUCUGAUUCGGGAAGUGAUCGGUCUGAUGAGCGCAAAUAUGGUGCUUUUGAUGGGAGAAAUGAAUUGGGUUUUGUUGAAAAUUUGAAAAAUGGAGUGGGUUUUGAAGGAAUUGGAGAAAGGGGGAUUGGUGCUGAUAAUUUGAUGAAAUUUGGUGAUUUUGAUCUGAGAAAUGAAUUGGGUUUUGAUGAAAGUACAAAAGGCCAAGUGGAUUUCGAAGGAAUUGGAGUAGUUCAAGACCAAAAUAAGGAUUUGGGAAGCAGGUUCUGGUCUGAUUCUGGUGGUGAUGGUUUGGUUUCAAUGAGCUUUGAGGGUGUUGGGAAGGAGAGUGAGGUGAGUUUUGGAGAUCCUGUGGAUAACCAAGAUGAAUCUGAGGCUUGUGUUGAAUUUGAGGGUGGAAAUGGCUCGAUGGAAGAGAAUUCAAAUGUUGCUAUUGAAGAAAGCGGAGCUGGAGAGAAAUCAGCUGGUGAUGGGGAGAGGAAUCGGGUGGCAUGGUGGAAGGUUCCUUUCGAGGUCUUGAAAUAUUGUGUUUUGAAGGUUAAUCCUGUUUGGUCAUUCUCCAUGGCAGCGGCUGUUAUGGGAUUGGUUAUCUUGGGACGGAGGUUGUAUAAGAUGAAGCAGAAGAGCAGGAACUUGCAGCUGAAGGUUACUCUUGAUGAUAAGGUCAGUUAUUGCAUUUGUUUUGCUAUUACAAUUGGUAAUAUUUGAAAUUAAAUCAAAAUUGGAAUUUAAAUUGAUAAAUGUGUGAACGUAUUAUGUUAAUUCUAUUUGGAUGUCUACAGCUUUGGAUGUCUACUGCAGUGUAAAUUGUGUUUGUAGAAUUAUUGAAUACUUUUGCUUGAAUUUUCCCUUUAAUUUUUUUAAAUUUAUUUUAGUUAAAUAACAGUUCCUUUAAACUCUAGUUCUGAACAUUUAAUAAACUUAAUACAUAUUCCAUUUUUUGAUUAAUUUUGACCAGAAAAUGCUACUUUUUAUAUGCUCUUCAUCUAACUGAGAACGUACCUUCUUUGUGAUACUUAUUAUUAUACCUAUAGAUAAGAAAUUAAAAUUUAGGGCUAGGCAGCUUUUUCUAAUCAAGAGAAACUUUUUGGCCACUUUUCUAACCUAAAUUUUAUUUAGUUACCUAUUGCAUGAUUAGAAUUAUAUAAACCAUUUAUAUAUUAAUUUGUUUGUGGAGAUAACAAAGGGAUGUGGAUACUUAUUUAGAUAAAUUUUGGUUUUUCCCUAUUUGGGAUGCAAGCCCGUGAGCAUUAUCCAACAUUUGUGACUUCAAAGUUCCAUGUUUAUAAGACUUGACGUCUGCCUUGAGCAAGCAUCUGGUUUGACAUACUUACUAGUUAGUGAAUAAGAGUAGGCAAUGUGCGAUAUCCUGCUUCACUGGAAUAGGAGCUUCUUUGCUAGUAUAUAGAACAUGGUGUUUGUCUUUAAUAAGCAUGCUGUCAUUUUUUUGAAAAGCCUAAAACUCUGGAAACUGGAAACUGUGGGCUGAAAGCACACUGCAUUGGAUUUAAAGAGACCCUAGUACAACAAUUGAUAUCAAAGCAGAUUUAAACCCAUGUGGGUGGACCCGAAUUGGAACUUGUAAAUUGAAAAUAAAACGGCAAGGACUGCAUGUUCAAAGUGCACAAAUUGUGCUUUAAUGGUGUUCGUUGUAACAAUUGUUUUUGGAGCAAAACUAGGUAAGCCCACAGAGGACUUCUGGCCCUUGAAAAUGGAUAGAUUGUUGAGAUGUUUUUUUUAGGGAUUUCUAGUGGAUGAAGUAACUCUAUUUGCAAGAUUCCACAUCUGUAGUGUGAGAGUUACUGAGGUAGUUUCGUUUAAUAAGACCUCAGUGCAGGAGUAGACCUCAUUGCUGUCUAAUGCCUAGUUAGCAGGACCCAUGUGAAGAUUGCCUAAAAAUCAAAGUGGGCAAUAGGAGGUUUCCCUCCCACUUUGUAGCUAAAUUAGCUGGGCUUUUUCUAUUCAACUAGUUGGGUAGAAGGCGGCUCAAUCAAUAAAGAUUGAUAUUCUCUCUUAAUUCUCUGUCUACUGUUAUAGCAUAGUUUCUCUCACUUUCCCUUAUUUCUCUCUUGUUUCUUAUUAGUUAAUAACCCGUUGAUUAAUCAACAAAGAUAAAUCAGAACCUUUACUAGGAUUGCCUUCAAGGAUAUGUGCGCACCACAUAUGAUAUCUUGCUUGGUUGAAUUGGGUCCUAAUCUCUUUUGGAUUUUUUGACCAGAUUGCAUUUUGGAGUCAAGUAAAAAUUGACCUGGUUUCCCUCCCAACAUAUUUAUCUAACUUUAGAUAAGUGACCUUGUGAUGAGUUUGCUAGUUGUCAUACCUGAUCCCUUUGGUCACACAUAAUCAGUUUUGCAGCAUAGCUUCCUUAAACACUUGGUUCACAUUUUGUCAACAUCCAAGGUUAACCACCUUCUCUUGAUCAUGAUGGUCUUAUGUUUGUAGUAGAUUGAUCUUUUAUGCAUUUACGGUAUAUACAAGCAAUGCAGCUGAAGAGAUUAGAUAGCCAUCAUAGAAGAUUAAAGAGAUUAGAUAGUCAUCAUAGAAGAUUAAAGAGAUUAGAUAGUCAUCAUAGUAGAUUAUAGGGAUAAAACGGAGUUUCUUUCUUUCUCUUUCCCUAUGUUAGGGUGAGAGUUUGGAAUGUGAAGGGUUCAUGGACCAUCUAUGGAGAACUGUCUAUGUCAAUCAAAGAGAACUUUCUUUAUGGAUCAUGUAAAUUUAUAAUUCAUAGUGUGAAUAUGAAGAGAAGAAUAGGAUACAACUUUUAUUGAUUUUACUUGCUGAGUUCAAACUAUUAUAAAUCUUACGCAGAAUUAUUUAAUUUUGCUGCCGUUAAAUUUUGAGGAACUUCUUCCCUUUUCCUCUAUGGUAUUUCAAACAAUGUGCCUCUUGUAAAUGAAUAGUCUAAUUUGUUGGUGAACGAUGUUUAGCAAGAAUUGACAGAUAACAAAUUCCCACUGUUCAACAUGUGCAGAAGGUGUCUCAGUUCAGGAGUCGUGCUGCUCGUCUAAAUGAAGCAUUUUCAGUAGUAAGGCGAGUGCCAAUAGUACGUCCUGCCCUCCCUGUGCCUGGAGCAAACCCGUGGCCUGUGAUGAGCUUGAGGUAAAAGUAUUCUUCAUGGAAGUAGAUAAUGUAAUGAAGCAGUAUCUCCACAAGUUAAGCUUAUGAUUAUAUGUUUGUCUUGGCUUGCUAUUUAUGGAUUGAAGUGUUUCAGUUCUUCUUUAAUGU